GGGACGGCACAGGUGAGGGGGCACUGCGGGACAGCCGGGCCGGGAGGGGCGGCACAGUUUGUGAAAAUUAUAUUGUUCCUUUUGAAAGAGGAACGAUUUGGUGGUGAUGGAGUGCUGCCACUGACAGAUGGACUCACAGGAAAGAAGCUCAGAAGAGGCAGAAGGAGCCAAAGAGAGAGGCCUGGUCUAUGUUUGGAAGGCUGGUUCCUGCUCUGUAACUCCAGAAAGGCUUCUAGGACUCAGUGGCAAGACUGUAUUACAGGCAGCCCUUGGAAUACAUCAUGGAUUACUUCUAACAGAAGGUGGAGAGGUCUACAGUUUUGGAAAGCUGCCCUGGAGAUCAGGACUGGAGGAGUCACGUGUUAAUAGUCCUAUCUUAGAAAAUACUUUGCUUGGACAUCGUGUUAUUACGGUGGCAGCUGGCAGCUUCCAUAACGGAGCCGUGACAGAAAGUGGUGUGGUGUACAUGUGGGGCAACAAUUCUGCUGGCCAGUGUGCAGUUGCUAAUCAGCCGUGUGUGCCAGAGCCACAGCUCGUCAGUAUUUGUGAUUCUGAAACAAGUCCUCUGAUAUCAGUAAGGAUUUUGCAGCUGGCAUGUGGAGAGGAGCACACACUGGCACUAUCUCUAAGCAGAGAGAUAUGGGCUUGGGGGAGUGGCUGCCAGCUCGGGCUCAUAACAACAACUUUCCCAGUGACAAAGCCACAGAAGGUAGAGCACCUGGCAGGACGCGUUGUGCUCCAGAUUGCUUGUGGAGCCCACCACAGCCUGGCUCUAGUACAAUGUCUCCCUGUGCAGGAAAUGAAGCCUAUCCCAGAAAGAUGCAAUCAUUGCAGUCAGCCUCUUAUUACCAUGACGGACAAGGAAGACCAUGUAAUCAUUUCAGAUAGUCACUGCUGCCCACUGGGUGUAGCACUGUCUGAUAACCCACCAGAAAACCAUGUCUUGUGUCCCUCAUCGGAGACCCUCGAAGGAAAAAGUGUAACAGGUGGCCCAAGUGACGACAGUCAGAAACCACCUGUGGAAGAACAGAGGCUUGUUGGUUUAGAAUCUGAUGGGCCAAGUGUGCUUUCCAGCAGCAAUGGACAGGAAGGUAGUGGAAUUUCUAGUCCUGGAAAUAUUCUGUUCCCAGACAAAAAAGAGGUGAAAGAGUACUUAAUUGGUUUGUCAGAUCACUCAUUAAAUGAGAGCCUGGAUAAAAACAUCUGUACAGAACCUGAACAGCCUUCUCAAGAAGACCAACUCAGUGCUUGUAUCCCUGGCCCUCCAGGUCCCAGCACAUCCACCUUGAACAGCCUGGUGGCCUCUUGUGCCUCAGCAGUGGGUGUGAGAGUAGCUGCCACCUACGAGGCUGGAGCGCUGUCUCUGAAGAAAGUCAUGAACUUCUAUGGCACAUCCUCAAGUGAACCAGGAUCUCAGUCGGGCAGCAGGUCCCCAGGGCCUGAGGCUCUGAAAGACAGUCGAGAAGAGCAGGUCAGACUGGAAUCCAUGCAGGGGAAGAAGAGUUCCAGUUUAGUAGAUAUUAGAGAAGAGGAAUCUGAAGGAGGGAGUCGCAGGCUUUCCCUGCCUGGUUUGUUGUCACAAGUUUCUCCAAGGCUCUUACGGAAGGUGGGACGGGCAAAAAUGAGGACUGUGGCUCUGACUCCAACCUACAGCGGUGAGGCUGAUGCUCUUUUGCCCUCUCUGAGGACAGAGGUGUGGAGCUGGGGAAAGGGGAAGGAAGGACAGCUCGGGCAUGGUGAUGUUCUGCCAAGGCUUCAGCCACUGUGUGUGAAAAGCCUGGAUGGGAAAGAAGUGAUUCACCUCUCUGCUGGUGGCCAUCAUUCCUUAGCACUCACUGCCAAAUCCCAGGUGUAUUCAUGGGGCAGUAAUGUCUCUGGCCAGCUUGGUCACUUGAACUCCCCAACAACAGUCCCUCGUCUUGCAAAGGUGUGCGGUGACGGUGUUUGGAGCACAGCAGCAGGACUAGAUUAUUCCCUCUUCUUAGCAGAUGAGAAAGACUUCCAACCUGGAUUAUAUUACAGUGGCCAGGAGACAAUAGAAAAUAAUUUGAAUGAAAAUAGCUGUACUAAGAGUCCAGUUUUAUUACUAGCCUGUAGUAAGAUAGGGUACAUAAGCAAUGUGAUAGCUGGUGGUGACAACUGUUUGGUCUUAGUAGACAAGAAUGUAAUGGGAUAUAUUGCCAGUUUGCACGAGUUGGCUUCUACUGAGAGAAGGUUUUAUUUCAAACUGAGUGAGGUCAAAUCUCAGGUUCUUAGACCUCUUUUAGGUUUAGAUAACUUGGGCAAUGCAAAUACAAUCCAGUUGUUGCAGGAAAUGGCAAGCAGGUUCAGCAAGCUGUGCUAUCUCAUUGGUCAACAUGGAGCUUCUUUAAGUAGCUUUCUUCAUGGCGUGAAAGAAGCCAGGAGCUUGGCCAUCCUGAAGCAUUCCAGUCUCUUUUUGGAUAGUUACACUGAGUAUUGUACUUCAGUAACAAACUUCCUCGUAAUGGGAGGAUUUAUGCUCCUUGCAAAGCCAGCAAUAGACUUCUUGAGUAAAAACCACGAGCUAUUACAGAAACUUUCUGAAAAAAAUGAGGAAAACCUCCAGCUACUGGAAGUUUUGAAUGCUCUGUUUUUCAUGCCAUUUGGACGACUUCAUAAUUAUGCCAGAACUUUGCUGAAGCUUGCCACAUGUUUUGAAGUGGCAUCUCCAGAAUACCAGAAGCUACAGGAUUCUAGUUCGUGUUACGAGAGCCUUGCUGUCCAACUUAGCAGAAAAAUAAAAGAAGCAGAAUACACACUUGGCUUCUGGAAGACCUUUCCUGGGAAAAUGACGGAUUCCUUGCGGAAGCCAGAGCGUCGUUUAAUCUGUGAAAGCAGCAACCGGGGUCUGUCUCUACAGCACGCUGGAAGAUUCUCUGUAAACUGGUUUAUCCUCUUUAAUGAUGCUCUGGUACAUGCUCAGUUCUCAACCCACCAUAUUUUUCCCUUGUCCACACUGUGGGUGGAAGCUCUUUCAGAAGAAGCUGGUAAUGUGAACGGGUUGAAGAUUACAACACCAGAAGAACAGUUUGUUCUUGUUUCUUCAACACCACAGGAGAAGACCAAGUGGCUGAGGGCAAUAAGCCAAGCAGUGGAUCAGGCCCUUAAAGGGACUUCUGACAUAAUUCUAUACGGAGCUGGUGGGAAUGUGCCAAGACAGGAACCUCCUAUUUCUCGCAGUGCCAAAUACACCUUCUAUAAGGACCCUCGAUUUAAGGAUGCUGUUUAUGAUGGAAGGUGGCUUUCGGGAAAACCCCAUGGCAGAGGGAUCAUAAAGUGGGCAGAUGGGAGAAUGUACUCUGGGACUUUCCGGACCGGGCUGGAGGAUGGGUAUGGUGAAUACAGAGUGCCAAACAAAGCACUGAAUAAGGAUGACCAUUACGUGGGGUACUGGAAGGAAGGCAAAAUGUGUGGGCAUGGAGUCUACAGCUAUGCUACAGGUGAGGUGUAUGAAGGGUGUUUUCAGGAUAACAUGCGUCAUGGGCAUGGGCUGCUACGCAGUGGGAAGCUGACCUCUUCCUCUCCCAGUAUGUUCAUUGGCCAGUGGAUAAUGGACAAGAAGAGUGGUUAUGGAGUCUUUGAUGAUAUCACAAGAGGAGAAAAGUACAUGGGAAUGUGGCAAGAUGAUCUUUGCCAAGGCAAUGGUGUUGUGGUUACUCAGUUUGGACUGUAUUAUGAAGGAGCCUUCAGCACCAACAAAAUGAUGGGGACUGGAAUUCUGCUUUCUGAGGAUGAUACAGUCUAUGAGGGGGAAUUUUCAGAUAACUGGACUCUGAGUGGAAAGGGAACACUGACUUUGCCAAAUGGAGAUUAUAUUGAAGGUCUCUUCAGUGGAGAGUGGGGAUCUGGGAUAAAAAUCACAGGAACCUACUUCAAACCUACUUUGUAUGAGAAUGAGAAGGACAAACCUAAAGCACUACCGACUGGUCAUUUUAUUAGGCGGAAACUUGGGAUCCUGGCAGUGUCUCCUGAUGAGAAGUGGAAGGCAGUAUUUGAAGAAUGCUGGAACCAGCUUGGUUGUGAGAGCCCUGGCCAGGGGGACAGGUGGAAGGCUUGGGACAACAUUGCAGUGGCUCUGACCACCAACAGACGGCAGCACAAAGACAGCCCAGAAUUAUUGAGCCGCUCACAUACUCAGACACUGGAAAGUUUGGAGUUCAUUCCACAACACAUUGGUGCCUUCACCCUGGAAAAAUAUGAAAAUAUAAAAAAAUAUUUGAUAAAGGCUUGUGAUACUCCUCUCCAUCCAUUGGGCAAGCUGGUGGAAACACUGGUAGCUGUGUACAGAAUGACCUAUGUUGGAGUAGGAGCCAAUCGCCGAUUGCUGCAGGAGGCUGUGAGAGAGAUCAAGUCCUACCUCAAACGCAUCUUCCAGCUCGUUAGGUUCUUGUUUCCUGAUCUGCCAGAAGAGGGCAGCACCAUUCCAUUUCUGGAACUGCAGACAAAAGGAAGGCGAUCAUUUUGCAGUGGGAAAUCCGAUUCCAGAUCAGAAUCUCCUGAGCCAGGCUAUGUGGUAACCAGUUUUGGCUUGCUGCUCCCUGUACUACUGCCACGACUCUACCCUCCCCUGUUUAUGUUGUAUGCCUUAGACAACGAGCGUGAGGAAGAUAUUUACUGGGAAUGUGUUUUACGUUUAAACAAGCAAACUGAUUUGGCUCUGCUCAGUUUUCUUGGGGUGCAAGCGAAGUUUUGGCCAGGAACUGUAUCCAUCCUUGGAGAGAGUAGAAAGGUAUCAUCAAAUACAAAAGACGCCUGCUUUGCCUCUGCAGUUGAAUGUUUACAGCAAAUCAGUACCACAUUUACCCCAGCUGACAAGUUGAAGGUGAUCCAGCAGACUUUUGAAGAGAUCUCCCAGAGUGUGCUUGAGACCCUUCAGGAAGAUUUUCUGUGGUCCAUGGAUGACUUAUUUCCUGUUUUUCUCUAUGUGGUGCUACGAGCCAGGAUAAGGAAUUUGGGGUCUGAGGUGCACUUAAUUGAAGACCUGAUGGAUCCCUAUCUGCAGCAUGGGGAGCAAGGCAUCAUGUUCACUACCUUGAAGCUUACAUAUCAGAAGAUUCACAGGUGUUGAGUGUCACUGUAGCAUCACUGCUUGUAGACAGCCUAGUCUUCUGUUUUCUUGGAUAGAAAAAACAUCAACCUUUGCACGUGUGCUGCUUUAUCAGGUUGCUGUGAAGUGAUUUUGGCACUGAAUGAAAUGCUCUGCAGUGUUCAGUUUGAUUACCCUGAGCUCAGAGGGCAAAUGCUUUCUCUGGAGGCCCAUGUGAUAAGAGAAGAAAGGAUUUUAAUAUUCAGCUUUGACAUGAGAAAAACUUUGUUUCAUAUGACCUUACUCCUAAGUGGAUUCUGUGCCUUAAACUGAUAGUGUAACUAGAGAUAGGAAGUUUUUCCAUAAUCUUUCUGCCUUUCAAGAACAAGCCGGAUAUUUCUUGUGCUACAGCAGAAAUCCCAGCAACAGAAGAUCAGUGCUACAGUAUUAGAGAUUCUCACAGCAGUCACAGGCACAGUACCUGAAGACAGACCCCAAGAGAUGAGUGCCCUACUGCCUGGAAAAGUUGCUGAGAAUAAGAAACUGCUGAAGUGAGAGGCAAUGUAAAGUAGGGGUUUUAUGCAAGAAAAGGGUUAAGGGGAUUUGUUCUCUUCUCCCUGGUAAUGAGUAGUUCUAAGGUUAGGUUUCUGCGGAUUAGAAAGGAGAGGAUGUCCAUAGAUUAGCUAGGGCAGUGAGGUUACUUGCUCUAUGAACAUCCAGCAAAUAUUCUUUCCUUCUGGAAAUUCUGCAUGGGCUGAACAUGGCGUAUUCUGUGCUGUCUGCAG